GCUUCUGUAGUGUAGUC
rnacentral:miRNA from 1 species